rnacentral:rRNA from 1 species
GAUGAACGCUGGCGGCGUGCCUAAUACAUGCAAGUCGAGCGAACAGACGAGGAGCUUGCUCCUCUCACGUUAGCGGCGGACGGGUGAGUCACACGUGGAUAACCUACCUAUAAGUCUGGGAUAACUUCGGGACACCGGAGCUAACACCGGAUAAUAUAUUGAACCGCAUGGUUCAAUAGUGAAAGACGGUUUUGCUGUCACUUAUAGCUGGAUCCGGGCUGCAUUAGCUAGUUGGUAAGGUAACGGCUUACCAAGGCGAGGAUGCGUAGCCGACCUGAGAGGGGGAUCGGCCACACUGGAACGGAGACACGGUCCAGACUCCUACGGGAGGCAGCAGUAGGGAAUCUUCCGCAAUGGGCGAAAGCCUGACGGAGCAACGCCGCGUGAGUGAUGAAGGUCUUCGGAUCGUAAAACUCUGUUAUUAGGGAAGAACAAAUGUGUAAGUAACUAUGCACGUCUUGACGGUACCUAAUCAGAAAGCCACGGCUAACUACGUG